UUACGCCCGAUUCCCAUAUUUUCGUGUGCUAUACCCAGGCCUUCCAAGUGGUCCGGGGAGCCGCGGACCCCGAUCGCCUAACAUUUUACGGAUUAUCAAAUACAACCUAAGGUACCAUAGUCACCGCCCACCAUCAUCGUUCCAAAUGCUUUGCAUAUUUUGGCCAAAAACUAGAACUCUGCGCGAUUUGCAUAUUUUCGUGUGCUAUAGCUUACGCCUUCCGAGUGGUCCCGGGAGCCGUGGACCCCGAUCGCCUAAAAUUUUCCGGGCGAUGAAAUACGACCUAAGGAACCAUAGUCACCGCCCCGCCAUGAUCGUUCCUCAUUUAUUGCAUUUUUUGGCCAAAAAGCUAGAAUUCCGCUCGAUUACCAUAUUUUUGUGUGCCCCACGCCUUCCGAGUGGGCCAGGCGGCCGGACUCGGAUCGCCUAAAAAAUAUUCGGGCCAUAAAUUAGGACCUAAGGAACCAUAGUCACCGCCUCGCCAUUAUCGUUCCUCAUUGUUUGCAUUUUUUGGCCAAAAAAUUAGAAUUCCGCCCGAUUCCCAUAUUUUUGUGUGCUAUCG
rnacentral:lncRNA from 1 species